AGCGAACGCUGGCGGCAGGCCUAACACAUGCAAGUCGAACGAACCUUUCGGGGUUAGUGGCGGACGGGUGAGUAACACGUGGGAACGUGCCUUUAGGUUCGGAAUAACUCAGGGAAACUUGUGCUAAUACCGAAUGUGCCCUUCGGGGGAAAGAUUAAUCGCCUUUAGAGCGGCCCGCGUCUGAUUAGCUAGUUGGUUGAGGUAAUGGCUCACCAAGGCGACGAUCAGUAGCUGGUCUGAGAGGAUGAUCAGCCACAUUGGUACUGAGACACGGCCCAAAAUCCUACGGGAGGCAGCAGUGGGGAAUCUUGCGCAAUGGGCGAAAGCAUGACGCAGCCAUGCCGCGUGAAUGAUGAAGGUCUUAGGAUUGUAAAAUUCUUUAACCGGGGACGAUAAUGACGGUACCCGAAGAAGAAGCCCCGGCUAACUUCGUG
rnacentral:rRNA from 1 species